GCCGGGAUGGUCUAAUCGGUUAAGGCGUCGCCCCGGAUAGGCAAAAGUUGCGGGUUCAGUACCGGCUCCUGGCC
rfam:Ixodes scapularis strain Wikel colony gcontig_1107729156504, whole genome shotgun sequence.